rfam:Gossypium raimondii Chr06_contig_45, whole genome shotgun sequence.
AUGCCAUGGUGAGGAUAUUUCUACAAUAGCUCCGUGAAUCGCUCCCAUGCAUUAUAGAGAGAUUCUUCGUCAAAUUGCUAAAAUGAGGCAAUUCACUUCUAAGCUU